rnacentral:lncRNA from 1 species
GGCAACCCGCUCAGGUCCUUCUCCACAAUGUGGAAGCUUUGUUCUUUCGCUCUUUGCAAUAAAUCUUGCUACCGCUCACUCUUUGGGUCCACGCUGCUUUUACAAGCUGUAACACUCACCACAAAGGUCUGCAGCUUCAUUCCUGAAGCCAGCGAGACCAUGAGCCCACCGGGAGGAGCGAACAACUCCAGACGCGCUGUCUUAAGAGCUGUAACAGUCACCUCGAAGGUCUGCAGCUUCACUCCUGAGCCAGCGAGACCACGAACCCACCAGAAGUAAGAAACUCUGAACACAUCCGAACAUCAGAAGGAACAAACUCCAGAGGCGCCACCUUAAGAGCUGUAACACUCACCGCGAGCGUCUGCGGCUUCAUUCUUGAAGUCAGUGAGACCAAGAACCCACCAAUUCUGGACACAAUAGGAUUUAAAAACCACAAUCUGGAUGCUUAUUGUGUUAAUUACUGCUGAGUUGUCAUUCCUUUUAGACUUUUUCAAGGGACAGAGCAAUGAAAUAUGCAUUUUAAAAUUUAUUUUAAAAGAUAAAAUGAGUUUAUAGUGAUAUGUCCAAUUCAAACGUUAGAUUAUAAAAUUUUUACUUACCUUCUUUGAUUUUAUUUGCUUAUUUGAGUAAUCUUACUGUUACUAGUUAUUCUGAUGUUCUAGAAUCAUUUAUAUUUGAAGCAACAGCCAAGGUUUAUCAAUGCCUGAAAAGUGAAACAGAAAUGAUAAAGAAAAUAAAGGAAAACAUCAAUGCAGAAAGGAACUAUAGUAAAUAUCUUUAGGGAUGUAAAAGAAGAUAUUAUCUCCAUGGAAUUAUUGCAGAGAACUCUUAACCUAGGUUCAGUAGUCUUAUUGCCUAUUAUUUUUAAGCUAUAUAUGUGUUGUAAGCUAAAGUUGACAAGUAAUUAUGUUAAUAUAGAGACUGAGCUUUUCAGCAUAGGAACAACAAGAUACAAAUAUAAAAUCAAAUAAGCAAAAACCCUGUAAUCAUAAAAAAUUGGGAAAUGUUAUUGAAAGACCACCAUCUGGACACAAGGGCUCCUUGGGAAAACACCACAAGAAUGCAAUAAGCCAAAGCUCGAAAUUCUACAGAACCUAUUAUCUGAUUUCUUCUACGAAUGAAUAGCAUGAAAAGAAGAGAGGAACUAACGUGUAUUUUGUAUAGAUCUUACUUGGUUUCCAACUCAAGCCAACUUCAAAAAAGACAUUUUAGACAACAAGAGAAAGUGGAUCACUGGGCAUUACGUGAGGUGAAAAAAUUACUAGUUUUGUUACAUAUAAUAGUAGUACUGUUAUUUGUUAAAACUCCUUAUCUGCUAGCAAUAUAUUUUGAAGACUUUACAGAUGACAUGAUACUUCGAAUGUGUUUUUACAUAUCUAGAAAAAAACUGGAAGGGACAUAAGUGAAACAAACUUGGUCAGAUAUCGAAGUUAGGUGGUGUGGGUUCAUCAUACUAUCCUCUAAUUUUUGUAUGUUUGAAAAUAUCCUUAAUUUUUAAAGGUUAAAAAAAGACUUUAUUUAGAAACACUAAAGAAGACAAAAAUAAAUGGAGAGAUAUAAGGAUGCUUUAAAAAGCUGUGAACUCAAGGGCCAUCCCAGGCAUCAACUCUUAGACAUUUCACAAAUAGCAACUGCUAAUCACCCCUGUCUGCUAUUAAAGAAAGUUGUGAAAGACUAACAGCCUUAGGAACUACCCUUGGUAAGGAAUCAGAAGAUCAUGGGUCUACUUCAGACGGACUCUACCAAAUUUCUCUCAGCAUGGCCUUGGACAAGUUGCUUAUUUCUAUUCAUCUUCCUCAUC